AAAAUUCUAGUAUAAGUAAGUAUAGUUUAUUGUCAAUAAACAGGUUAAGAAUUUUA
rnacentral:tRNA from 1 species